rnacentral:ncRNA from 1 species
GAAUAGCGGCUUCAUUUUAAUCGAUGAAUUAAUAGGGAACCUAGUGAGAAUCUAGGACAACUGCCAUUGCUGUAUUUGACGGAUGAAUAUCAUAUGCCAUUGGGUAACUGAGAAGGCGAUAUUCUUUAUAGAUUAAUUAUCUAUCGUAGUCAUAAGUCAGAAGACCUACCGUUUUUC